AUGUCGACGAGCGGUCCGAGAAGGUGCCCUGCGGGCUGCCUUUGGAAUUGGAUGAGCAUUUGAGGUGCCACAAGCGAUGACGGCCGCAGCGUCCGAGACUGGAAUUCCUGCGGAGC